rnacentral:rRNA from 1 species
GCUACACAUGCAGUCGUACGAGAGUUUUUAACUCAAGUGGCGGACGGGUGAGUAACACGUGAGAAUUUACCUUUAGGAGGGGGACAACAAUUGGAAACGAUUGCUAAUACCCCAUAUGCUCUAGAGUGAAACGGAUUUUUCCGCCUAAAGAAAAGCUCGCGGCUGAUUAGCUUGUUGGUAAGGUAAUGGCUUACCAAGGCGACGAUCAGUAUCUGGUUUGAGAGGACGAUCAGACACACUGGAACUGAGACACGGUCCAGACUCCUACGGGAGGCAGCAGUGGGGAAUUUUCCGCAAUGGGCGAAAGCCUGACGGAGCAAUACCGCGUGAGGGAAGACGGCCUAUGGGUUGUAAACCUCUUUUUUCAGGGAGGAACAAAAUGACGUGUACCUGAAGAAUAAGCAUCGGCUAACUCCGUGCCAGCAGCCGCGGUAAGACGGAGGAUGCAAGUGUUAUCCGGAAUCACUGGGCGUAAAGCGUCUGUAGGUGGUUUGUUAAGUCAACUGUUAAAUCUUGAGGCUCAACUUCAAAUCAGCAGUCGAAACUAUCAGACUAGAGUAUAGUAGGGGUAAAGGGAAUUUCCAGUGGAGCGGUGAAAUGCGUAGAUAUUGGAAAGAACACCGAUGGCGAAGGCACUUUACUGGGCUAUUACUAACACUCAGAGACGAAAGCUAGGGUAGCAAAUGGGAUUAGAUACCCCAGUAGUCCUAGCUGUAAACAAUGGAUACUAGAUGUUGAACAGAUCGACCUGUGCAGUAUUAAAGCUAACGCGUUAAGUAUCCCGCCUGGGAAGUAUGCUCGC